rnacentral:rRNA from 1 species
GGGAUAACAGUUAGAGAUGGCUGCUAAUACCGCAUAAGCGCACAGGACCGCAUGGUCUGGUGUGAAAAACUCCGGUGGUAUGAGAUGGACCCGCGUCUGAUUAGCUAGUUGGAGGGGUAACGGCCCACCAAGGCAACGAUCAGUAGCCGGCCUGAGAGGGUGAACGGCCACAUUGGGACUGAGACACGGCCCAGACUCCUACGGGAGGCAGCAGUGGGGAAUGUUGCACAAUGGGGGAAACCCUGAUGCAGCGACGCCGCGUGAAGGAAGAAGUAUCUCGGUAUGUAAACUUCUAUCAGCAGGGAAGAAAAUGACGGUACCUGACUAAGAAGCCCCGGCUAACUACGUGCCAGCAGCCGCGGUAAUACGUAGGGGGCAAGCGUUAUCCGGAUUUACUGGGUGUAAAGGGAGCGUAGACGGAAGAGCAAGUCUGAUGUGAAAGGCUGGGGCUUAACCCCAGGACUGCAUUGGAAACUGUUUUUCUAGAGUGCCGGAGAGGUAAGCGGAAUUCCUAGUGUAGCGGUGAAAUGCGUAGAUAUUAGGAGGAACACCAGUGGCGAAGGCG